AGCCAAUCAGUCUUAGCUCAUCCUCCAGAGUCCCCUCCCCUCUGAGGUCCUCACUCACCUGGCACGGUGAUGCCCAGGAGGGCCAGCAGCAGGAAAGGGCUCAUGAUCAGGGCAGCUGGAACCCGCACUCCUGCUCUCUCCUCCUUUUUAUAUCUCGCCUCACUCAAGGCAGUCCAGGAAAGGGGUGGGGAGGGGAGGGACUUGCUAAAUGGGGCGUGGGCCUCUGUCUGAGUCUCAACACCUUAAAGGCAGCAGGGGUGGGGAAGGGUGGGGGCUGGAGGGUUGGCGAGUGAGGUCGAGGGGGAGUCUGCAUCCUCCCUCCUUCCCCAGACCCAGGAGUCUGGGCCCCCAGUCCCUCCACAGUUAGAGAUGGAGGCAUCCUGGCUCCUAGACCUCACCAGUCCAGGUCCCCAGCCCUCUUUCCUCCAGAGCCCAGCUGUGGGGGUCCCCACCCACAUCCUGUUUCAGGACAGUUUGUGAAGGCGGUUUCCUCAUCUCAUAGCACCUUGGCCACCUUCUGGCCCCAAGUGAGGAAAUGGCCCAAGUGCCCAUGAAGACACUGUGAGGCCCAGUGGCACAGCCCUCCAUCUGAACCAGCAAUACUACAAUCACAGAACAUAAGGACCCUGCCGUCCUGACCUGCCUCUCAAAUGACGCUGGGAUCUCCAUAUGCUGGUUCUUCAAUGGCUAGAGUCUACUGCUCACAGAGAGGAUGAAGCUGUCCCUGGACAACAGCAACCUCUCCAUAGACUCCGUCAGGAGGGAGGAUGCUGGGGAUUAUCAGUGUGAGGUCUCCAACCAGGGCAAUUCCAGCAGAAGUGACCCCCUCAGGCUGGAUGUGAAAUGUAAGUGACCACUCGCCCCAUGCUACAUCUUCCCGGGAGGAUUACUCUACAAACAGUGUGCAAAAUGGAUAGAGGUCACAGGGGGCAAAACAGCAGUUAAGAGACCAUUAUAGUAAACAGAUGGCAAAAUCUUAAUAGCACCAUCUCUGGAAAAAAUACAAUUAGUUUCUAAUCCUGGGUCUGGCAUUUACUCUGUGACCUUGUACAACAUUUUUUUUUUCUGGCACACUUUCUUUAUAUGGUAAAAAUUAAAAGUAUGUAAGAUUUACCAUUUAAAUGAUUUUUAAGUUUAUAGCUCAGUGGCAUCAAGUACAUUCACAUUGGUUUGCAAUCAUUACCCAUAUACAUCCACUACAUUUUGGUUAGUAUUGUCAUCUGAAAAUAUUAUCUUCCAGUCCAUGAACACAGAAUGUCUUUCCAUUUAUUUAUGUCUUUAAUUUCUCUUACUAUGUUUUCUCCUUUUUGAACAAUUGUUUUUCAGUUUUUCUGUGUACAAGUCUGUCACUUACCUAGUUAAGUUAAUUCCUAAAGGUUUUAUUCUGAUUGAUGCUGUUAUAAAUGGAAUUUUUAAAGUUUCCUUUUCAUACUGUUCACUUUUCAUGUAUAGAAAAUACAACUGUAUUUAUGUGUUGGUUUAGUAUCCUGCAGCUUUGCCAAAUUUGCUUAUUAGCCCUAACAGUUUUUUGUGACAUUUUUAGGGUUUUCUAUAUAAGGUCACAUCAUCUGCAAACAAUUAAUUUUGCUUCUUCAUUUACAAUUUCGAUGUCUUUUAUUUCUUCUUCUUCUUUUUUUUUGCCUACUUGGUCUGACUAUUACUUUCUUUUUUUUUUUUUUUUUUUUUUGCGGUACACGGGCCUCUCACCGUUGUGGCCUCUCCCUCUGCAGAGCAGAGGCUCCGGACGCGCAGGCUCAGCGGCCAUGGCUCACGGGCCCAGCCACUCCGCGGUAUGUGGGAUCUUCCCGGACCGGGGCACGAACCUGUGUCCCUUUCAUCAGCAGGCGGACUCUCAACCACUGCGCCACCAGGGAAGCCCUGACUAUUACUUUCAAUACUAUUUUGAAGAGAAGUGGCAAAAGCAGGCAUCCUUAUCUUGUUCUUGACCUUAGCGGAAAAACUUUCAGGCUUUCACAUUUAGAAUGAUGUUAGAUAUGGGUUUUAAUAUAUGGCCUCUAUUAUGUGGAGGUAAUUUCCUUCUAUUCUGAGUUAGAGUGUGAUGAAAGGAUUUUGAAUUUUGUCUAAUGCUUAAACUGAUUUAAUCUCCUUCUUAGUUAUAGGUCUAUCAUAUUUUCUAUGUCUUUGUGAUUCCACCUUGGUAGCUUUUGAGUUUCUAGGAAUUUGUCUAAUUCAUCGAAGUUAUGCAACUUGUUGGCAUAUAAUUAUUCAUAAUACUCUUGUAAUUCUUAUUAUUUCUUGAGAAUUGGUAGUUAUGUUCCCACUUUCAUUUCUGAUUCAAUCUGAAUCUUCCCUUUUUUUCUUGAGCAUUCUAGUUAAAGGUUUGUCAAUUCUGUUAAUCUUUUUUGAAGAACCAAUUUUUGUUUUUAUCGAUUUUCUCUAUUAUCUUUCUAUUCUCUGUUUAUCUCCACUCUAAUUGUUAUUAUUUCCUUCCUUCUGCUAGCUCACGGUUUGGUUUAUUCUUCUUUUGCUAGUUCCUUAAGUUGUAAAGUUCGGUUGCUGAUUUGAGAUCUUUCUUUUUUUUUCAAUGUAAGCGUUAACAGUUAUAAACUUCCUGCACAAGAUUAUUAACUACUCUGAGCCUCAGAUUCCUCAACUGAAAAUUGCAGUAAAAGCACCUGCUUCAUGGCAUUAUUUCAAAGAUUUAAUGUACUAUUAAAUUAAACUCUUGGUAAAAUGCCACACACAGAGGAAAAUGUUCCAUAACUGUUAGAUGCUAUUACUACUACUAUUACCAUUAGGCUCUAUAAAAUCAGGUACUCCUACAGUCAAGGACUACCUGACUCUAGAUCCACCUGUUAGCUGUAUGACAAUGGGCACGUUUUUUCACCACUGGAAGCCUCAAGUGUUUCACCUAUGAAAUGGAAAUAAUGUCGAUCUGGCAGGGUUACAUGAAUCAAAUGAGAUAUAUGUAAAGUAUAUAGCCCACGCGCCUAGAGCCCAUGCUCUGCAACAAGAGAAGCCACCGCAGUGAGAAGCCUGUGCACCACAACGAAGAGUAGCCCCCGCUCACUGCAGCUACAGAACGCCCGCGCGCAGCAACGAAGACCCAACACAGCCAAAAAUAGAAUAAAUAAAUUAAUUUUUUUAAAUGGAUAACCAACAAGAACCUACUGUAUAGCACAGGGAACUCUGCUCAAUGUCAUGUGGCAGGCUGGAUGGGAGAGGAGUUUCGGGGAGAAUGAAUACAUGUAUAUGUAUGGCUGAGCCCCUUUCCUGUUCACCUGAAACUAUCACAAAUUUUUAAUUGGCUAUACUCCAAUAUAAAACAAAACGUUUUAAAAAAAAGAAAAUUUAUUCCUUGAAGGAACAAGUAGAGACUUGUUGUUUUGCAGAGCACCUCCCACUGUAAAAUAAUGUCACCUUCAUUGACUCUUCGUUUUUCUUUCGAUGACAGUUGAUUCAACACAAGGAAGUUCUUCUGGCCUCUCAGGUGGUGCUAUUGCCGGCAUCGUGAUUGGAGUCCUGGCUGGCGUAGCUCUGAGAGCACCCCUGGUGUAUUUCCCGUAUAUGAGAUAGACUGAAGGGUAUGAUGCCUUUCCUCUUGUUCUGCUUUCUCUGAGGCUAAUCGUCAUGCUCGGGAGAGGGAAGGAGACUUCAUCUCUGUCUCUGGACCUGGAUCUGCUCCUUAUGCUUCCUAAAGCCCUGCUUCUUGGCACUAAUUCUGAUGGGUCUCUUCUUCCCUGGUCUUCAUGCUUCCUGUGCCCUACUCUGUCUUGGGCAUAGUUAUUCCCAACCCCACCUGGUUUAGAGGGAGCAGAACCAAUUAUGUCCCUCUGUCCCCAGUCAGGGAAGCCAAGGUCCAAGAAGGAAAACUAAUGAGGAAAUGAAAGAAGCAGGAGGAAGGGGGUCCUGCGCUCUGUCGACAACAGUAGCAGGAGGAGGGGACAGGACAGGAAGAGAACCUAAGAAAAGCAGAAACAACCAAAGGCCUCCUGGGCAAUAAAUAAAGUGACAAAGAAACAGCAUCUACCUACAAAAGGGGAAAGGUGUCAGGGUAGAAAUAAGCUCAGAAGCAGUUGGCAUGAAUGGCCCCAAAUGUGAACAGCCAGUAAGCAGGAGAGGAGUAAACACCAGAAGGGAUGAUGGGUAGAUUGAAGGAGGAGGUCCUCAGAGGAAAGAGGACCAACCAAGGUAUAAAUGAACACUGAGGAGCCCCAAGGAGUCAUGCUGACAGGGUCCUUCCUAAUUCAAGGAGCAAAGGUCCUGUGCCUGGGAAUAGCAGUUACAGUGUCUGAUAUUUAUUUAGGGCAAGUGACCAGCGCGAUCUCACAGAGCACAAAUCCUCAGACCACAACCAGAGUAAGUAAACCUGCUCACCUAGUGAGAGCUCGUAUGUUCUACUAUAUACCCUGCCCUACCAGGGAAUCCCGGAUUUCCAAGUGAAUCCCUACCUUCUGAAUUAUUAGAGGGGAUCUCAGUUUCCCAAGCUUAAACUGGCAUAGGUCCUCACGCCCUUCCUAGCCAUGUAAGAUUCCUCUGAGACACAGCUGGGGGAGAGACACUCGCCCCUCCUAGGCCAGGCAAGCCAAGCAGGCCAUGAGAUGGACAUGUUUCCAGGAGCCUUUUCCUCAUCCUACCUCCUUCCCCCUCCUGCCUCUAUUACGGAUGCGGGCAUCUCCUUUGGUGAGACUUUCCCUGCCUUUGGUGCUCUGGGUACUGUGGGCCUCAAUGCCCCUCCCUGCCGCUGCAGCCUGCUGCAGAGACACACACCUGGGCAAAACUCAUGCCUUGUGAACUGGAAGAAAUCUUCGGAAGUGCACUGAGGCCUCUCCCCGCCCCUCCUUGGUCUCAUGCCCUGGGGUCUGGACCGCAGACUGAGGGAAGUGAAUUCCUUAAGUCUUAAUCAUGGGCCACCCCCCCACCCCACCCUCUCACCACCUGCCCCCUCCUUCAGCUAGAAGCACAACAGCUUCGGAACACCACGUUCUGAGGCCAUAAGUCAGCUCUGCAUUUUCAUGGGUUGGUAACUUCUUUUGCUUCCCCAGGUCAGGGCUAAAAUUCACCCAACAAGCCAGUUUCAUUGGCUCUUUUUCUCAUGAAAAUAUCUCUGUGUAGAAUGGGUUAUUCUUGAAGACACAAAUGGGAGAUCAAGUUUGGAUCAAAGUUCCUUACUGCAACAACAAACAAAGAAGUAUUGGUUAAUCACUCCCAUGGGUCUAAUUCAUGCAAGAAUGUUGACUUUAGAAUUUUUCCCAUCCUGUAUUUCAAUCCUGGCUGUGACCUUGAGCAAGUAACUUAACCUCGUUGAUCCUCAGCUUUGCCCUCUGUAAAAUGGGCAUGCUGCCUACUUCAAAGAGAAGGUCAAGGAAUUAAAUGACAGAAAUGUAAAGCCCUCAUCACAAUGCCCAGCUCGAGAAAGGCACUAUUUCAUUCUCCUUCCUCUGCCUCCUAUCUGAUCCUGCCCUUACUGUCAAAUGAUCAUUUCCAUUCUAAUGGGUCUGAGGCCUUAGUUCCUUUACUGUCUAUUAAUAAAUUUUACUGAAUAUUCUCAUCUUAACCUUCAAUAGAAUAUACAUACAUACUGAAAAGUGCUUAAAUCAUAUUUUAACAAUCUGAACAACCCAUGUAAGUAGCACCCAAAUCGAUAAAUAAAACAUGUCAUUCCCCCCCGCCAAAAAAAGACCUCCAGUUACUUCCCUUCAAAGAGUAACCACUAUCCUCACUUCCAAUGCACUGGACUAGUUUGCCUGAUUACGCUCUUACAUAAAGGAAAAACACAGUAUGUCCUUACAUGUAUCUGGCUUCUUUCAUUCAAAAUUGUUUUGUAAGAUUCAUCCAUCUCAUUUUAUGCCCUUGUGCUUAAGUUAUUCUCAUUGCUGUAUCAUUGUAUUUCACUGUAGCAUUCCAUAAUCUCUCUCUCCGAAUGAUCAUUCAACAGGAUGUUAGUAAGCAGAGAAAAUGGGUAAUAAAAGCCCUUCUCUGAAGCUAAAAGUUUCAAAGUGGUGAAAGCAUGUGGUGCUGAAUCACACUGGACAAGGUGAGGGCCUGGCCUACGACACUGAUUUAAUUGACUGCUGUUCAUUCCUUUCAGAUUGACGAAGGUGCAUAUUCUGCCCUGAACUUCAAUGCCCAGGAAUCAAAGAAACCAACUUCAGCCUCCCAUCCCCAACAGCCACAGAAGUGGUUUAUUGAGAAGUUAAAAAAAAAAAAAAGAAGAAGAAGUAGUGUUCCCUGCAUUACUGACUUAUUCCAAGUUUCUCAUCCCCAUCGCUAGGAGAUUCUUUCACCCUUAGGGAAAGUAGGAAGUGUGUCUUCCGCCCUGCACCUCCCUAAUGACGCACAUCCUGGCUGCCAGGUCACAGCCCCUUCCUUCAGUGUCAGUAGAUGAAAAGGUACAUCCAAGAGGAGGUCUGGAGGAAACCCAACCUUCCUUGUCAUUGAACUUUGGCAAAGCAGACCUUGGGAGAGAGUUGCCAGAACGUCCACCCCUCCCAUUUGCUGACCUAGACCAGUUUUAUUUAUUUAUUAUAAAUUUAUUUAUUUGUUUGUUUUUUAUUUUUGGCUGUGUUGGGUCUUCGUUGCUGCGCGCGGGCUUUCUCUAGUUGCGGCGAGCGGGGGCUACUCUUCUCGUUGUGGUGCACGGGCUUCUCACUGCGGUGGCUUCUCUUGUUGCGGAGCACGGGCUCUAGGUGUCGCAAGCUCAGUAGUUGUGGCUCACGGGCUUAGUUGCUCCGCCUCAUGUGGGAUCUUCCCAGGGAUUGAACCCGUGUCCCCUGCAUUGGCAGGCGGAUUCUUAAGCACUAUGCCGCUAGGGAAGCCCUAGACCAGUUUUAAACUUGCGUAUUCAGAGCACACUCAUUCCUUCCCACCUCAGUCCUGUCCUAUUGGAGUCUAACUUGAAUUUGCCAUAACCUUGAGAGUUAUGUCCUUAUGCACUGAAAUGCAUGUGCCAGAAAAGAAGAGAGAGAAACAGGAAAAGGAAAAGCUCCUCCUAGCUCUUCAAAGUCCAGUAUAAAUCCACAGGAAAAUACAUAUAUAACCAAUUUAGGACUGCAAAUUCUACACCUUUGUCUACCGUCAGGAUUGUCCACCUACAGGAUCAGGGCCUAAACACCUUGCUGCUUACCUAGAACACCACCUAGGCCCUUUGGAAAACUCUUCUUCAGAGAACCUACUAGAAGAAACUAAAAAACUACUUGUCUAGGUCCAUAAGUAAUUCCUAAUAAAAAAUGCAAAAAAUGCAGGCACGUUUAAAUAACUUUAUGGGCUUUACUCCAGGAAGUGCCCACAGAGGAAGGGGUUAUUGCUUUAGGGGGCAGUUGGCUCUUAACACAUACAAUCUGCUGGGACUUGGGAAAGGAAUCAGAAAGCUACCCUUCAGAGAUGAUCUAAAUAAUUGCUAAAGAAUGCACAGUUUGUGGUACUGAGUUUUUCCCCUUCCUUCUGAGACAUUCUGCAAUUUUAAUUGUUGUAACUCCUUUCUAUGUGAAAGGGGUUGUUUACUUAAUUUGCUGGUAAGCCAAUCUGACUGCCUUAGGUGAAAGACGCCACCAAAACCCCUCAAGUCCCUCUGGCCAGAAGCUCCUCAAGCCUUUUAUGUCAGGGGCUCCACAUAGAAAAUAAGAAGAAGCAGUUUUCUACAUUCAUGGCCAGAAAGGGAUCUCGCUCAGUUUCUAGGCACCUCAGACCAACCAUCAGCACCAUUCUAUUCCACGUUUCUGCCUGUGCACGUUCCAUCUGCCCCACUCACCUUCUCAGGAAACCUUGGCCUCUGCUAAGGUGUGUUUGGUUCUUGAGAAGCAGGAGCACCUGAAGGGGACACGACCACCCAUGCAGCUGGCCUCGUUUACAACCUAGAAAGCUGCACUGGUGCUGAUGCUCCUUAGGACACAAGGGGAGGAUUAUAGCUCAGCUCUGGGCUUCGUGAAAGCCUCUGAAAUUUGUUUUCUCCCAUGGGGUCUAUGAGACCCAAUGUGUCAGCAUAAAAAGGACGGGCAGGAGAAGGAGAGGCACGUCUACUUCCCACCCAGCCUCCUUCUGCAUGGAUGGAACCUCCUUGAGGCUGUUGAGAGAAAGGUUUUAUUCCAUAUUCAUUACUUGAUCUAAUGCUGUGUGGAACUGGCCCCCUCAAAGAGGGUUGGUUGGGAAUUCUCUGUACUCAGGUACCCCUUUCAGGGUUUUUUAACCCUGACACAGACUGUAUAUACCUCCCCUCAUCCACGCUAUUCUGUGUAAUUUAAUUUUGCCUGGCUAAGGCCGCUUCUGAAUUAUUUGUAAAAUUUGCUCUAUAUUUAUUAAAAAAAUUAUAUA